rnacentral:rRNA from 1 species
CCUACGGGUGGCUGCAGUGGGGAAUAUUGGACAAUGGGGGCAACCCUGAUCCAGCCAUGCCGCGUGUGUGAAGAAGGCCCUCGGGUUGUAAAGCACUUUCAGUGAGGAAGAACGCCUGGUGGUUAAUACCCAUCAGGAAAGACAUCACUCACAGAAGAAGCACCGGCUAACUCCGUGCCAGCAGCCGCGGUAAUACGGAGGGUGCGAGCGUUAAUCGGAAUUACUGGGCGUAAAGCGCGCGUAGGUGGCUUGAUAAGCCGGUUGUGAAAGCCCCGGGCUCAACCUGGGAACGGCAUCCGGAUCUGUCAAGCUAGAGUGCAGGAGAGGAAGGUAGAAUUCCCGGUGUAGCGGUGAAAUGCGUAGAGAUCGGGAGGAAUACCAGUGGCGAAGGCGGCCUUCUGGACUGACACUGACACUGAGGUGCGAAAGCGUGGGUAGCAAACAGGAUUAGAUACCCUUGUAGUC